rnacentral:rRNA from 1 species
AACGUAGGAGACAAACGUUAUCCGGAGUUACUGGGCGUAAAGGGCGCGUAGGUGGUCUGAUAAGGGUGUGGUGAAAGCCCGGGGCUCAACCCCGGGUCGGCCGUGCCGACUGUUAGACUAGAGUGCUGUAGAGGCAGGCGGAAUUCCGGGUGUAGCGGUGGAAUGCGUAGAGAUCCGGAAGAACACCGGUGGCGAAGGCGGCCUGCUGGGCAGUUGCUGACACUGAGGCGCGACAGCGUGGGGAGCAAACAGG